rnacentral:lncRNA from 1 species
GUUAAAGCUAAGAGGAAUCAAUGAGUUUUGUGCAGAUGCAGAUUGGGUUCAUCAAAGAUGAGAAUCAUAUAUAUAGGGUUUACAGAAGGCUACAAAUCAGGAACAUUUAAGAUCAAGCGAUUUAAGAUGGGGGGAUGAAGAGUUCACCGGUAAAAAAUAGAUUACGAACAGACACACGGCGCAACUCUGUAACUCAGACUUGUCUGAGACAAUGAUGAAAAGAACCCUAACUCGUGUUAAAGGAAGACAAUUUACAAUAUGAAAAACUAUAAUUGUUGUUUUUUUUCAUAAAAUGUGAUGAACCUCAUUUAAAAAUGAAACUCAUAAUACACUUGUAGGCCCGACCCACAGAGAAAACCGAAGAAGCA